GAUGAACGCUGGCGGCGUGCCUAAUACAUGCAAGUCGAGCGAAGCGGGGGCGGGUGAGUAACACGUCGAUAACCUCCUCUAAGACUGGGUUAACUUCGGGAAACCGGCGCCAAACCGGCUACUUAUAGCUGGCUCCGCGCUGCAUUCGCUAGUUGGUAAGGUAACGGCUUACCAAGGCAACGAUGCAUAGCCGACCUGAGAGGGUGAUCGGACACACUGGAACUGAGACACGGGCCAGACGCCUACGGGAGGCAGCAGUAGGGAAUCGGGCGCAAUGGGCGAAAGCCUGACGGAGCAACGCCGCGUGAGGGAUGAAGGUCUUCGGAUCGUAAAACUCUGUUAGUAGGGAAGCGGUACCUGAUCAGAAAGCCACGGCUAACUACGUGCCAGCAGCCGCGGUAAUUC
rnacentral:rRNA from 1 species